AUUGAACGCUGGCGGCAUGCCUUACACAUGCAAGUUGAACGGCAGCACGGGAGCAAUCCUGGUUGCGAGUGGCGAACGGGUGAGUAAAGUAUCGGAACGUGCCCAGUCGUGGGGGAUAACGUAGCGAAAGUUACGCUAACACCGCACACGAUCCAUGGAAGCAACCGGGGGAUCGCAAGACCUCGCGCGAUUGGAGCGGCCGAUAUCCGAUUAGGUAGUUGGGGGGGUAAAGGCGCACCAAGCCGACGAUCGUUAGCUGGUCUGAGAGGACGAGCAGCCACACUGGGACUGAGACACGGCGCAGACGCCGACGGGAGGCAGCAGUGGGGAAUUUUGGACAAUGGGCGAAAGCCUGAUCCAGCGAUGCCGGGUGCAGGAUGAAGGCCUUCGGGUUGUAAACUGCUUUUGUACGGAACGAAAAGGUUUGGCCUAAUAAGCUGAGCUCAUGAGGGUACCGUAAGAAUAAGCACCGGCUAACUACGUGCCAGCAGCCGCAGUAA
rnacentral:rRNA from 1 species